rnacentral:rRNA from 1 species
AAUAGAUACCCGGGUAGUCCAUGCUGUAAACGAUGAGAACUAGAUGUUAGGGGGCAUGACCUCUUAGUAUCGAAGCUAACGCGAUAAGUUCUCCGCCUGGGGAGUACGGCCGCAAGGUUAAAACUCAAAGAAAUUGACGGGGGCCCGCACAAGCGGUGGAGCAUGUGGUUUUAAUUCGAUGCAACGCGAAGAACCUUACCUACCUUUGAAUCCACGGAACCUAGCAGAGAUGUUGGGGUGCCUUCGGGAACCGUGAGACAGGUGCUGCAUGGCUGUCGUCAGCUCGUGUCGUGAGAUGUUGGGUUAAGUCCCGUAACGAGCGCAACCCUUGUCCUUAGUUGCCAUCAGGUUAUGCUGGGCACUUUAAGGAGACUGCCGGUGAUAAACCGGAGGAAGGUGGGGAUGACGUCAAGUCCUCAUGGCCCUUACAGGUAGGGCUACACACGUGCUACAAUGGGCAGUACAGAGGGAAGCCAACCCGGCGGAGGGGGGAGCGAAUCUCAUAAAGCUGUUCGUAGUCCGGAUUGGAGUCUGCAACUCGACU